rnacentral:tRNA from 1 species
GGUGGCUCAGUGGUAGAGCUCUUGCCUUGCAUGCAUAAGGCCUUGGGUUCGAUUCCCCAGCACCA